UGGUUAUUACCUCCAUUCCAAAUUAGUUGUCUUAGAUUUGUCUAGAUACGGAUGUACCUAACACUAAAAUGUGUCUUACUCUAGAUACAUCUGUAUCUAGACAAAUCUAAGAUAACUAAUUCGGGACGGAGGGAGUAGUGA
rfam:Triticum aestivum genome assembly, contig: Triticum_aestivum_CS42_TGACv1_scaffold_556497_7AL